AUCUUUUCAAAGAACCAGCUGUUAGUUUCACUGAUCUUUUUCUUUCUUUUAGUCUCUAUUUCAUUCAUUUCCACUCUGAUCCUUAUUAUUUCCUUCUUCCUACUAACAUGGGCUUUUUUUGGUUCUUUUUCUAGUUCCUUUAGAUGUAAGGUUAGAAUUUUUGAGUUUUUCCUGAUUUUUUCUCUUUCUUAGAUAAAAUGGAUCAUUGGGCAACCAAAUAUGUAGAUGAAAGGUGUUUCUCUUUAUACAAGUAUCACAGCUAGCUAAUAAAUAAAGAAGGAAUUAAACAGUAAUAGAUUAUUACCAUUUUGCAACACAUAAUGUAUUAUAAAAUCUAGACAUCAAUUAUACAUGGUGGGUGGCAUCACAGAAGAGAGAGGGAGAGAGAGGCCCAGACACUUGAUAAAUUUAACACACAAAUUUUAAACUUUUAAACACAAAAAUGUGUCAAAAUAUAAACAACAAACUGCAAAAAAAUUUGUAACAUACAUGCUGGAAAAUAAAAUAAUUUCUUUGACAUUCAAAAAUUCUUAAAAAUCAGUUUGAAAAAAUUAAAUACUCCAAUAACAAACAGAUGAAAACAAAAAGCAUCAGUUCCCAGAAAAAUAAAUAAGGCUAUUUAUUUCAGCUUUGUUUUUAAUAGGGAAGUCUUGGAAAUAAUUAGAAUACAUGUUCAUCAGUGAUAAAAAGGAAAAACAAGAAGAUAGAGAGGAAUGUAAAAUUAAAAUAUGUGCACACUAUUGUAUAUGGAAUAGAUGUUCAACAGGGACCUGCUAUAUAGCAUAGAGAAUGCUACCCAACAUUCUGUGAUAACCCAUAUGGGAAAAGAAUCUAGAAAAGAAUGGAUAUGUGCAUGUAUAACUGAAUCACUUUGUUGUACAGCAGAAAUUACUGCAACAUUGUAAAUCAAUUGUACCUCAAUAAAGUUUUAAAAAAUGAGGAAAAGAGGCAUAUCAACCAACCACAAUGUGUGGACAUUAUUCAAAUGAUGACUCAAAUGAAAAUAUUUUUAAAAAAGAAAUGAUAUUUAUGAAACAAUUGGAAAGUUGAACACUGACUGAAUAUUUGAAAAUAAGGAAUUAGUGUUAAUUUUUUUAUCUGAUGUUUAUGUUUUAAAAAGUCCUUAUAUUUCAGAGAGUCAUACUGAAAUAUUUAUGGAUGAAAUGAUAUGAUAUCUUAAAUUUCCUCCAAAAUAAAUAAGGGAGAGAGAAGUGAGCCAUGAAUGGGCCAUGAAUGGCCAUAAGUUGAUAGCAUGGCUGGAGUUGGGUGCUGAGUACACACAGAUUCAUAAAAUUAUUCUGUAUACUUUAUUGUAUCAAAUUCUCAUGAUAAAAUGGAGUUUUUAAUUUUGUAGGAAAAAAAGAAUAAGCCACAAGAAGAGACAGUAUAGCUUGAUUUUUAGCAACACAGGUUUCAGAGUCCACUGCCUAAAUUCAAAUUUUAGCUCCAUGGAGCAAAUACCUGAGAAAAGACUUUCUCGUUUUUCUGAUCUGUAAUAAUACCCAUUUCAUUGGAUUGUCCUGAAGAUGACCUUGAGAUAACACCCUAAAAUUGGCAGACAGAAUGCCAUUGACUUUAGUUCAGAAAAUCAUAACAUAGAUGCAAUUCUUCCUAUUAUGUAUAGUAUUAGUUCUAAAUUGUUCCCACACCCUCUCUAUCAGCAUUAGUAAUCAGAAUUCCAGAACAAGAGUACUAUUUUGAAAAUUCCACACAGAGACUCUAGUAUGCUUGCCACAGAGGGUCAUGAUCCUUCAGAAUAUGUUUCUUAGAGACAUCCACAUCACAAGAAGCCAACAGCCAGCACCAACUUGCCAAUCAUGUGAGUGAGCCAACUUGGAAGUACAUCUUCCAGCCCUAGUUAUGUCUUCACAUGGCUGCUACCUCAGUUGGCAACUGACUCAACCUGAUUAGAAACCGUGACCCAGAACAGCUAAGACACACCUGAAUUCCUGACCAGCAAAAAUAAAAAAUGCUACAAGUGAUAAUAAAUGUCAUAUAAAGCCACUAAAGUUUGGAACAAUUUGUUAUACAGUAAUGGAUAACUAAUAAGAUAUAUAAAGAUAUGUGAACAUUAAGAUUCACUGGUAAAUAUAAAUUCAGCUAUAAAAUGCUAUUCUAGUUUGCAUAAUUCUCAGAAAAAAAAUGUUCUGGAAUGAACUUCAGAGAAGUUCCUUUACAAAAUCAGCGGUGGUCAUGGUUAAUAUAUGGACCAAUUAACACAGAUAAAGGACUGGUUAAAAAAAAAUGCUUUUCUUUCUUGGGAUAUAUUAUUUAUUCACUUGUCUAAAAACAAAGUAUGCUUUCUGAAAAAUAAACAUCUGAUUAAAAAUUAUCUAAUGUAAAGCAUAAGAUGUAAUAUAAAUUGUUAGCAACAAACUGCUCCUCAUAGCAUGUAUAAUUUUGGUUUGUGGUCAAUUUUUUUUUUCUCAAGUGAUCUUAGUAUUCUUGUUGGAACCAUCUGGCAAUACUAUUUCCAAACAUGCAUUGGAAGUUCCAAUAUGGAACUUUGCAUGGAGCUAUGCAAAUAAGGUCAGGGAUAGUUAGAGCUAUAAACUAUAAUUGACAAAGACUUCAGUUGAACAGAAGGUCUUCUAUUUGCCAAGUACUGUGCUAGAUGCUUGAAACGGAAAACUCAGUUAAGUAUGAAUUUUUAAAAACUCAAAGAGUCGGAGAACUCUUUAAGUAUUAAAGGCAUUGAUGCAGGGGAUUAAUCAAUUCAAAAAUAAUGGAAGGCAAACCAAAAUGAAGAUCCUGGGCCACAAAGAACUAAGAUGCUGGCAGAAGAAAGGGGGCUGACCAAGAGUAAGGUGACUUCCCUGCUGAAGAAAGACUGUAAGUUCAGUUAACACCUUCACGAUGCUUGUCAGUUUUAGAUUUUUCUCUAAUAUGAUUACGAUAUUAAUUAUUGAGUAAACUCAGUUUUCAACUCUCAUGUCAUGGGGUGUCAACUCUCAUGUCUAUUAUUCUCACUAUUUCUGAUAACCAUAUAAAUUGCACUUGUAAAACAUUUAUACAGAAAUAUGUAUGUCACACUGCAGUUAAUUUUUUAAACCUUUAGAACUAAAAAAAAAAGUAUUUAUUUAUUUAUUCUUGCUUUUUAGGGCUGCACCCAUGGCUUAUGGAAGUUCUCAGGCUAGGGGUCGAAUCAGAGCUACAGCUGCUGGCCUAUGCCACAGCCACAGCACCAGGGAAUCAAAGCCACAUCUGCGGCCAACACUGCAGGUCAUGGCAAUGCCGGAUCCCUGACCCAGAACAAGGCCAAGGACUGAAUCCACAUCCUCAUGGACACUAGUUGGAUUUGUUUCCAAUGCACCGCAAUGGGAACUCCCUAAAAAAAUUUUAAAAGAACUAUUUUAUAGAUGUAUAUACCCUAAGCCUACUCAUUUUCCUUCUAAGAAGAUACUUUAAAGAAAGAUUUUGGGUGUUCCCGACAUGACUCAGCAGUAAUGAACCCAACUAGGAUACAUGAGUAUGUGGGUUUGAUCCCUAGCCUCACUCAGUGGGUUAAGGAUCCAGCAUUGCCAUGAGCUGUGGUGUAGGCCACAGUCUCAGCUCGGAUCUGGCACUGCUGUGGCUUCCACAUACAUCACUUUCUCUGAAAACUCUUUUGUCUCUAUAGCUGGCCAAGAGGGUCUUUGCUUAGAGACAUGUGGUUAAACUUAUAAUAAAGAUUUCAGCUCAGGAAGAAAUAGCCUUUUUGGACCUGGUCCUCUCCAGCCACAAGACACCAUUUCAUGUAUAAAACUCCUGAUAACAAUGAGUCUGAUUUGUCUCUUUUAUAUUUAACAUAAAAAGCAGCCUUCUGGUUAUCAUUUAACAAAGUGCAGAUAUGCUUUGUAACCAAUUAAACACAUAUAAAGGACAGAAGAUAUAGACCUGGAGCUACUGUUUCUAAUCAGUUUAAAUAUAUGCAACCAAUAGCUAUAUCUUCAAUAUACCUGUCUUUGUUUUACAUAUUCCGCUGCUUAUGAUUUGCACCACAAAACACAAAGAGCCCAGCAAUACAAGAAACCCAGCAAAUGUGCAGACAGCAAUUCCCAGCAGGGGCCUCAGCCUCUCACAGCAUGAGGCUCUGCCUCUCAGUGAUGUGAAAAGCCUGUCACAGACUGACUUUCCAGCUGAUGCUGCAGCCUUCUUACAUUCUGGAUAAGCAAUUUCUAUACUGUUAUUUUCUCACAUGAAUUUCACAAAUGGUUCAUAUCAAUUUGGCACAACCUAGUCAUCUGAAAUUUCCAAAGAAAUGACAUUUCUAUCCCUGGAAAGAUGAAAUAAAU
rnacentral:lncRNA from 1 species